UAAUACGUAGGUGGCGAGCGUUGUCCGGAAUUACUGGGUGUAAAGGGUGCGUAGGCGGGUGAUAAAGUCAGGUGUGAAAUACCACGGCUCAACUGUGGGGCUGCACUUGAAACUUAACAUCUUGAGUGAGGUAGAGGUAAGCGGAAUUCCAAGUGUAGCGGUGAAAUGCGUAGAUAUUUGGAGGAACACCAGUGGCGAAGGCGGCUUACUGGGCCUUAACUGACGCUGAAGCACGAAAGCAUGGGGAGCAAACAGG
rnacentral:rRNA from 1 species